UUGUAUGACCAAAUCACCUGGAAUGUGCCCGAUUUUGUCAGUUCUCGGAAGCAAAGCAGGUUUGAGCCUGGAUAGUGCUCUGAGGGACGACCAGCAGGGAUAGUGCAGCAACAUGCAUU
rnacentral:rRNA from 1 species